rnacentral:rRNA from 1 species
UACGUAGGGUGCAAGCGUUGUCCGGAAUUAUUGGGCGUAAAGAGCUCGUAGGCGGUUUGUCGCGUCUGCUGUGAAAACCCGAGGCUCAACCUCGGGCCUGCAGUGGGUACGGGCAGGCUAGAGUUCGGGUAGGGGAGACUGGAAUUCCUGGUGUAGCGGUGAAAUGCGCAGAUAUCAGGAGGAACACCGGUGGCGAAGGCGGGUCUCUGGGCCGAUACUGACGCUGAGGAGCGAAAGCGUGGGGAGCGAACAGG